UAGUAACGGCGAGUGAAGCGGCAACAGCUCAAAUUUGAAAUCUGGCCCUCGGGUCCGAAUUGUAAUUUGUAGAGGAUGCUUUUGGUCAGGUGCCUUCCGAGUUCCCUGGAACGGGACGCCUUAGAGGGUGAGAGCCCCGUACGGUUGGACGCCGAGCCUCUGUAAAGCUCCUUCGACGAGUCGAGUAGUUUGGGAAUGCUGCUCUAAAUGGGAGGUAAAUUUCUUCUAAAGCUAAAUAUUGGCCAGAGACCGAUAGCGCACAAGUAGAGUGAUCGAAAGAUGAAAAGUACUUUGAAAAGAGGGUUAAACAGCACGUGAAAUUGUUGAAAGGGAAGCGUUUAUGACCAGACUUUUUCUAGGCGGAUCAUCCGGUGUUCUCACCGGUGCACUUUGUCUAGUUUAGGCCAGCAUCGGUUUUUAUAGGGGGAUAAAAUCGGUGGGAAUGUGGCUCCCUCGGGAGUGUUAUAGCCCGCCGAAUAAUACCCUUACGGGGACCGAGGUUCGCGCUCUGCAAGGAUGCUGGCGUAAUGGUCAUCAACGACCCGUCUUGAAACACGGACCAAGGAGUCGAACAUUUGUGCGAGUGUUUGGGUGUUAAACCCUCACGCGUAAUGAAAGUGAACGGAGGUGAGAGCUCCUAGGGGUGCAUCAUCGACCGAUCCUGAAGUUUACGGAUGGAUUUGAGUAAGAGCAUAACUGUUCGGACCCGAAAGAUGGUGAACUAUGCGUGGAUAGGGUGAAGCCAGAGGAAACUCUGGUGGAGGCUCGCAGCGGUUCUGACGUGCAAAUCGAUCGUCAAAUCUGCGCAUGGGGGCGAAAGACUAAUCGAACCAUUAAACCAGCGGUAAAUUUGAUUUACUAGGUGGUUAAGAGGGGUCUCGAGAGAGACUUACACCUAGGUCUGGGGGGUCACCUACCCUGUAGCUGUCAGUCACCUACCCUGUAGCUGUCAGUCACCUACCCUGUAGCUGUCAGUCACCUACCCUGUAGCUGUCGAAGACCUACCCAGAGCGACACCACUAAAUUGCGGGGACAUCCUUUAAAGCUUCGGGCUACCGCAGGGCACUGAAAAGUGUGGCUGCACCAAGAUUAGCGGUCUUGGGUAUGGUAAUAACGCCUGCUAGCUGGGACUACCUGCAGCCAACCCCGCCAUAGGGGAGAGUUCACAGACUAGACAGUGGUGGGCCAGCCCGUGCUGGCCUAAGAUAUAGUCGACCGGGGCCCUGAAAAGGUGCCCGUAGU
rnacentral:rRNA from 1 species